UGUAGGAGCCAAUGAUGUUUUUUACUGAAAAUGUCUGAAGCAUCUCAGUGAUGCCAACUCUGUGUGGUGCUGAGGCUUCUUUGCCA
ensembl:snoRNA